AGUGAACGCUGGCGGUAUGCCUAACACAUGCAAGUCGAACGGCAGCACAGUAAGAGCUUGCUCUUACGGGUGGCGAGUGGCGGACGGGUGAGGAAUAUAUCGGAAUCUACUCUUUCGUGGGGGAUAACGUAGGGAAACUUACGCUAAUACCGCAUACGACCUACGGGUGAAAGCAGUGGAUCUUCUGACCUUGUGCGAUUGAAUGAGCCGAUGUCGGAUUAGCUAGUUGGCGGGGUAAAGGCCCACCAAGGCGACGAUCCGUAGCUGGUCUGAGAGGAUGAUCGGCCACCCUGGAGCUGAGACACGGUCCAGACUCCUGCGGGAGGCAGCAGUGGGGAAUAUUAGACGAUGGGGGCAAGCAUGAUACAGCCAUACCGCGUGGGUGGAGAAGGCGUUCGGGUUGUAAAGCCCUUUUGUUGGGAGAGAAAAGCAGCAGGUUAAUACCCCGCUGUUCUGACGGUACCCAGAGAAUAAGCACCGGCUAACUUCGUG
rnacentral:rRNA from 1 species